AACAAGUUAAACUACCAUCCUCAAAUGUAAGCAACAAGGAAGCAAUCAUAAUUACAAGGAAACGGUCAUUCUUUAUACAAGUUAAACUCCUAUCCUCAAAUGUCAGCAACAAGGAAGCAAUCAUAGUUACAAGGAAGUGAUCAUAACCUAUUACAAGG